rnacentral:miRNA from 1 species
UGUUCCCGGCUGACCCUGGCUAGG